rnacentral:lncRNA from 1 species
AAAAGAACAAUGAUGAUAUUGAAAAAAUAAAAGAAGAAAUGGAAAAAUUAUGUUUAUUAAAAAAAAAACAAGAUGAAAAAGAAGAAAUAAAAAAAAAAAAUGAAGAAGAAAUAAAAAUAAUGAAAGCAGAAAUAGAAAAAAAAAGUAGUAUAUUUACAGAUAAAGAAAAAAAAGAAAAGGAAAUUAUAUCAAGCUUAGGAUUAUCAAAUAAAAUUCCUACAUUAUCUGAAACAUUAAAUGAUUUAUUAUCUGAAGUUAAAAAUUGUGAAAGAGAUUAUACGGAAAAAUGUCCAAUGAAUUGGCAGUUAAAUAAAAAUGAUAAUAAAUAUUGCAAUGCACCUGAUUCUUAUGUAGGACCAUGUGAAAAACAAAUAAAAAAUGAAAUGGAUAUAAGUGAAAAAAUACAAACUGAAAAAAAUUGUUUCAUAUUUUGGCCAUGUAACAAAAAUUGUAUUCAAAAUUUUAAAAAAUCCAAGUGUCCCAUAGAUUGGAUUUUAACAGAAGAUAAUUUUUGUAUGGCUCCUCAGAAUUAUACAGGGAAUUGUUUAAAAAAAAUAAAUUUUAUAAAAAUGAAUGAAAAAGAAAAAGCUAUAUAUUCUAAUUUGUGUAAUAUCCGAUGGUCUUGUAAAGAAGCAUGUAAACGUGAUUAUUCUGUUUUAUGCCCAGAGGGCUGGAUCGAAGGAAGUAAAGGAUAUUGUUUAGCAACAAAUACGUAUGAUGGUAUUUGUGAAAAAAGGAUAUAUUUAAAAGAUUCAGAUAAAACGUUGAAACAAAUGUAUGAACAAAAAUGUCAAUUUAAUUACCCUUGUAUAAAUUCAUGUCAAAAAAAAUAUGACGAUUUGUGUCCUAAUUUGUGGUUCCUAAUUAAUAAUAAUGAAUGUGCACCUAGUGAAAGUUAUACUGGAAAUUGUAAAGAAAAUUAUAUUUUUAAAAAUAAAACUAUUGAAGAAAAAAAAAUGUUUGAAGAAAUGUGUGAUAUAUCAUAUCCCUGCUUACAAACAUGUAAAAGAGAUUAUUCAUAUAAUUGUCCAAUAGGAUGGAAAGAAACAUUAAGUUAUUGUUUAGCACCGGUAUCUUAUAAACACAAUUGUAAAAAAAUUAUGAGAACAAAUAUGACUGAAAAGGAAAAAUUAGAAAUAAGUACAAAUUGUCAUGUCUUCUGGCCUUGUUCCAAUUAUGAAAUUCUUUUAAAAAAAUUAAUAUAUAAUAAUUUAACAGAAGAGGAUUAUAUGUAUAUCGUUAAUGGACCAGUUGAUAAUGCAACCGGAUCCAUAUUUCAUGUAUAAAUAGUAAAUAGUUGGCUUAGUGUUUCAAGAUGGGGAAAAACUACAAAAGUUCGUAGGGAUUAUAAAAAAAGGAGUUCCACAAGGAGUUCCAAAAUAUAUAUAUAUAUAUAUAUAUAUAUAUAUAUAUAUACAUAUAUUUCUAUAACGAUGCCAAGGUAUCGCUCCAUAUAUGAAACAUUUUAAUAGCUGUUUAAUUGUGAGAAAGGUUUUAACACAAAAAUAUUUGAAAGUGCUUGAAAAUGGUUGAAAAUGUUUCAAAAUGUUUCAAAAUGUUUGAAAUUUUUUGAAUUUUUGAAUUUUUAAAUUUUUGAAUUUUUGAAUUUUUAAAUUUUUGAAUUAAAAUUUUUUUUUUUCUGUAUUGUCUUUUUUUUUUUUUUUUUGUCACUAUUUGUACCUUUUUUUUGUGUAUUUUCAAAUUUACCUAAUUCUUUUUAAACUUAAAAAAAUUGCUCUAUUCUUUUUUUUUUUUAAAAAGAACCAUAUAUAUGUAUAUAUAUGUGUGUGUAUAUGUUUCCUCAUUUAUUUAAGCAAAAAGUGUAAAA